AGACCAGGGGUCACCAACGUGGUGCCCGCGGGCACCAGGUAGCCCCCACGACCACAUGAGGUGCCCGCAAGCCUGCUUUUCAUUCAGGUUUUCAGUUAAUAAUGAAAGAACAGUAGAAAGAAAUGCAUUGUGAAAUACAACAUGUGAGUUGUGGACACCAGCAUUUUGUUCAUGUUCUGGUAAAACAAGCAUAUUCGCUUUGUUUGGGUUUAAAAUAAGCUCUGAAAAUAAAUGUUACAAAAAUGAGUAGCCCUUGGCCAUUUUCAUUUUGUAAAAGUAGCUCUCACAAGGAAAAACGUUGGUGACCCCUGGUCUAGACUAUGUAGACCAUGUAGACUGUGGUACCGUGUAGCCCAUGUGGCCCACAUUCCGGCAGGCCUCGUCUUCAAAGGGAUGGUGGUGAUGAGAACGGUCAUCUUGCUAGACGAGUGCAUCCUGCUAAUGAGUCUGAGUUCUCACCAACCGGUACGUCCAUCUGAAGACUUUCUGUCCUCUGGGUCCACCUGCUUGAAAGAAGAAGAGAAGCCGAGGUUCACUCUGGGACUGUGGAUUGUCUUUCUCCGAGGUUUGGUCCACUUAGCCUGUUAUUGAUCUACCUUUGAUUCCUCAGCGUUGCUGCUCAUCUUGUGACAUAUCAGCCACUUCAAGCAGCUUUGGUCUUACAGCAGCUCCUCGUACAGAAGUCAGUGUUUUCUCUUAUCAAUAGGAAUCUGUUUUAGUGUAGUCUACUUUAUUCCUCUCGCUCUCACUGAGAAUAUUAUUUUCAUAUACGUCAGCAUGUUCCAAAUCUUUCAUCUUUUGAGCAAAGCAAUGCACUGCUUCACAGGUGAAUAUUGGUGCGGUGUAAGUCCUGCACUGUACCAUGCUCCUGUGCAGAGCAGCCUUGCCAAUAUGGAAGUUUUACAUAACAUAGAACGACGUGUGCACGGCCCAGGUGGGGGCGUAUAUCUCUUGCUACAACUAACUCAGCAAACUAGCUCAGUAAGAAGACAUUGAUGGGCUCAAAACCUUUCAUAAAGCAAACAGUUAGUAAAAGACUUCUUUUCCAGGCACAUCCUUUCUUGUUUGGAUGAAAAAGAAGUCGACAUGUAUUCUUCCUUUAUGCUGUGGCUUCCCUUUCUAAGGAAGUCCCGCCUUCCUGUGGGGUCUGAUUGGACAUCGCUCCCCUGAAUGUCUUUAUUGAAGUACUUGGGCUUACAGUAUUUAGUAUGCAAUACUUCAAUAUUUGAUUUAGCUUUAAAAUCUGACUAGUCUGUUAAUUUCAGAUAAUAAUGUCAGCCUCUCACCACACGCCAGCUUAGAAGGGAAAUCAAAGCAAAAGAAAAAUAUAUUCUUGAGGUUUUGGCUGACUCUGGGGCCCAACAAAAUAGUGUCAUCAUCCACAUCAUGUCAUAAUGAGAGCACUGGGAGUCAGAGGGGCUGCUUGGAGUGAGAUGCUGGAUAAAGCCUUUGUUUCAUGUCGGCUAAUACCAGCUGCAGUAUUUUCCAACUCUUCUUUUACUCUUUGAUGCCGUGUCACAAGUCUCCAUCUUCAAAGUAUGGACACCACGCCACCAGAAGAGUUGCAUCCAGUGCAGGUUGUGAACGUGAUGCUGAUACCAGCUGGAUGUGUCGUCAUCUCUCCAUACAAACGGCCAUGGAUUCUGAUCAACAACAGAAGAGUGUUUUUCUGAACUGGUUUCUGAGUGGGGCUCCAAAGCCACAAGCACACGGGCACAGGAGCAUCCAUUCAUGCCUUCAUCCUAAGCUGGAACCUAUCCCAGCCAACAAAGGGUGACGGUUUGUGUUCUCACUGAGCAGCGGUGGGUGCUGCUGAGAGGUUCGGGCCGCCCCACACCAGUCCCAAGCGGUCAGUGCACAGCCAGCUCCCGCAGCACGCAUCCAAAGUGCAAAUGAAUCACGCUUGCGAUGUACGGGCGCGAUGCCACCGGGGUGGCUGUAGAGCGGGACCUCAAACGUAAAUGUUUCCUAAUCUUCAUGAAGAGACACUCGAGCCUGAUUGGGACUCGCUCACUUGCCUGCCAGUAUGUCCGAAUGUGAUUGGUCAACACUGAAGUGAUGUGCAGAUCCAUUCUGAGAUAUUGAUACUUCUGAUACCAGCUCUUCAUAUGUCGAUACUUUGGGUACUUCAGCCAUUCAAGGUAGUAUUUGUCUGAAAGGUGUGUUCGUUGAAAGGAUGAGCGAUGGUAAACGCAGCCAUGUGUGAAGUGUGACUAAAGUUUUCACUCUUAUUGUCGUUCUUAAUAAUGAAUCAUUUAUUUCCAUGCUUUUAUUUACAGUCAAACCUGUCUAUAGCGGCCACUAAAGGGAAACGGCAAAAGUGGCCGCUAUAGACAGGUGGCCGUUAUAGACAGGUUGGUGGCCAUUUUGAAU